AAUAAGGUGGCUGAAAUAAAUAGGCGGUAAAUUGUAAAUUUAUUUAUGGUCAAUAGGACUUCUUAUUA
rnacentral:tRNA from 1 species